CGGGUAACCGACCCAUCAGAGGGGGAUAACACUUGGAAACAGGUGCUAAUACCGCAUAACAGUUUAUGCCGCAUGGCAUAAGAGUGAAAGGCGCUUUCGGGUGUCGCUGAUGGAUGGACCCGCGGUGCAUUAGCUAGUUGGUGAGGUAACGGCUCACCAAGGCCACGAUGCAUAGCCGACCUGAGAGGGUGAUCGGCCACACUGGGACUGAGACACGGCCCAG
rnacentral:rRNA from 1 species